rnacentral:rRNA from 1 species
UACGUAGGAUGCGAGCAUUAAUCGGAAUUACUAAGCGUAAAGCGUGCGCAGGCGGUUUUGUAAGCCAGAUGUGAAAGCCCCGGGCUUAACCUGGGAAUGGCAUUUGGGACUGCAAGGCUUGAGUGCGGCAGAGGAGACUGGAAUUCCUGGUGUAGCAGUGAAAUGCGUAGAUAUCAGGAGGAAUACCGAUGGCGAAGGCAGGUCUCUGGGCUGACACUGACGCUCAUGCACGAAAGCGUGGGGAGCAAACAGG